UACAGGAGGUCCCCAAAUGAUGCGGAGCAUCUUUUUUGCAUGGGACCGACGAUUUGCCGCCGAAGCGCCGGCUGAGGGGGCGAUUCCAUAA
rnacentral:sRNA from 1 species